rnacentral:rRNA from 1 species
UACGUAGGCAGCAAGCGUUGUUCGGAGUUACUGGGCGUAAAGGGUGUGUAGGCGGUUUUCCAAGUUUGGUGUGAAAUCUCCCGGCUUAACCGGGAGGGUGCGCCGAAAACUGGCAGACUAGAGUGUGGGAGGGGAAAGUGGAAUUCCUGGUGUAGCGGUGAAAUGCGUAGAUAUCAGGAGGAACACCGGUGGUGUAGACGGCUUUCUGGACCAUAACUGACGCUGAGACACGAAAGCGUGGGUAGCAAACAGG